GCUGGAUAGCUCAGUUGGCUAGAGUUUGGUGCUGAUAAUGCCAAGGUUGCAGGUUUGAUCCCCGUAAGGGAGAGCUGCA